AUGUGAGCUGUGACAAACAUUGCAUAAACCAUUUCUAUGCGUGGCAAUGUUUCGAUGAAACACAU
rfam:Trichinella spiralis unplaced genomic scaffold Scfld2, whole genome shotgun sequence.